rnacentral:rRNA from 1 species
CCCUAGUAACUGCGAGUGAAGCGGGAAAAGCUCAAAUUUAAAAUCUGGCAGUCUUUGGCUGUCCGAGUUGUAAUCUAGAGAAGUGUUACCCGCGCUGGACCGUGUACAAGUCUCCUGGAAUGGAGCGUCAUAGAGGGUGAGAAUCCCGUCUUUGACAUGGACUACCAGUGCUUUUGUGGUGCGCUCUCAAAGAGUCGAGUUGUUUGGGAAUGCAGCUCAAAAUGGGUGGUAAAUUCCAUCUAAAGCUAAAUAUUGGCGAGAGACCGAUAGCGAACAAGUACCGUGAGGGAAAGAUGAAAAGAACUUUGGAAAGAGAGUUAAACAGUACGUGAAAUUGCUGAAAGGGAAACGCUUGAAGUCAGUCGCGUCGACCAGGAAUCAACCUUGCUCUUUUGCUGGGCGUACUUCCUGUUUGAYGGGUCAGCAUCAAUUUUGACCGAUGGAUAAAGGUCAAGGGAAUGUGGCAUCUUCGGAUGUGUUAUAGCCCUUGGUUGUAUACAUCGGUUGGGAUUGAGGAACUCAGCACGCCGCAAGGCCGGGUUUUUAACCACGUUCGUGCUUAGGAUGCUGGCAUAAUGGCUUUAAUCGACCCGUCUUGAAACACGGACCAAGGAGUCUAACAUGCCUGCGAGUGUUUGGGUGGAAAACCCGAGCGCGUAAUGAAAGUGAAAGUUGAGAUCCCUGUCGUGGGGAGCAUCGACGCCCGGACCAGACCUUCUGUGACGGCUCCGCGGUAGAGCAUGUAUGUUGGGACCCGAAAGAUGGUGAACUAUGCCUGAAUAGGGUGAAGCCAGAGGAAACUCUGGUGGAGGCUCGUAGCGAUUCUGACGUGCAAAUCGAUCGUCAAAUUUGGGUAUAGGGGCGAAAGACUAAUCGAACCAUCUAGUA